GGGGAUUUAGCUCAGUGGUAGAGCGCUUGCCUAGCAAGCACAAGGCCCUGGGUUCGGUCCCCAUCUCCG
rfam:Rattus norvegicus chromosome 17, whole genome shotgun sequence.